rnacentral:rRNA from 1 species
CGCGUAGGCGGAUGAGCAAGUCCGGAGUGAAAUCUUUCGGCUUAACCGGAAAAGUGCUUUGGAUACUGCUCGUCUUGAGGGAGGUAGGGGCAUGUGGAACUUCUGGUGGAGCGGUGAAAUGCGUUGAUAUCAGAAGGAACGCCGGUGGCGAAAGCGACGUGCUGGCCCUCUUCUGACGCUGAGGCGCGAAAGCUAGGGGAGCAAACG